rnacentral:tRNA from 1 species
UCCAGCGUGGCUCAAUUGGCAGAGCGUCCGGCUGUUAACCGGAUGGUUGGGGGUUCGAGUCCCUCCGCUGGAGCCA